rnacentral:rRNA from 1 species
UACGAAGGGGGCUAGCGUUGUUCGGAUUUACUGGGCGUAAAGCGCACGUAGGCGGGUUGUUAAGUCAGGGGUGAAAUCCUGGAGCUCAACUCCAGAACUGCCUUUGAUACUGGCAACCUAGAGGCUGGAAGAGGUUAGUGGAAUUCCCAGUGUAGAGGUGAAAUUCGUAGAUAUUGGGAAGAACACCCGUGGCGAAGGCGGCUCUCUGGGACGGUACUGACGCUGAGACGCGAAAGCGUGGGGAGCGAACAGG